GUCUUCAUAGUGUAAUUGGAAACAUAAUCGACUUAUAUUCGAGAUAUCUAGGAUUGGAGUCCUGGAGAAGGCA
rnacentral:tRNA from 1 species